GACGAACGCUGGCGGCGUGCCUAAUACAUGCAAGUCGAGCGGAUCUCUGAUGGAGCUUGCUCCUGAUGAGGUUAGCGGCGGACGGGUGAGUAACACGUAGGCAACCUGCCUGCAAGCCUGGGAUAACAUCCGGAAACGGACGCUAAGACCGGAUACGCAGUUUGGUCGCAUGACUAAGCUGGGAAAGACGGAGCAAUCUGUCGCUUGCAGAUGGGCCUGCGGCGCAUUAGCUAGUUGGUGAGGUAACGGCCCACCAAGGCGACGAUGCGUAGCCGGCCUGAGAGGGUGAACGGCCACACUGGGACUGAGACACGGCCCAGACUCCUACGGGAGGCAGCAGUAGGGAAUCUUCCACAAUGGACGCAAGUCUGAUGGAGCAACGCCGCGUGAGUGAGGAAGGCCUUCGGGUCGUAAAGCUCUGUUGCCAGGGAAGAACGCCUAGGAGAGUAACUGCUCUUAGGGUGACGGUACCUGAGAAGAAAGCCCCGGCUAACUACGUGCCAGCCGCCGCAGUAACAC
rnacentral:rRNA from 1 species